UUUGGGAUUAUUUUCUUUGUAGGGGUCUAUUUGUCAUUUUGUGACCCUAUAUAUAUAGGUCCAUACACUUGUUUAAGUUUGAUGAUUGAUUGAAUGAAUUAGCCUCCUUCUUUCUUUGAAACCCUGGUGUGAAGCCACAUUCAGGGCAGGUACGAAGCCUGGUUCUUCCUCCGCCUCUCCUCCCUUCCUCUUCUUCCUCCUCCUCUCUCUCUUCUCUGCAUUGUUCUGCAUCAACUUUGGUAUCAGAGCAGGCCAGGCUUUGCCUCUAUUACCAAAGCCCCAGGUCCUCCUCCUCUUUCUUAUCUCCCAGUCCCGUCUUCUUUCAUCCGGCCCACACCUCACACCCGUUUCAUCAGGCUUCACAAAAGAAAAAACAGAAGAUCCCUUCAUCGAUUCACCGCACACCUGGCUC
rnacentral:lncRNA from 1 species